AUGGAGGAUCCCGUCACGGCUUCGCUCGGCCCCAUGGGUCGCCUCCUUCGGCGACUCCAUUCGCUGGAGGCUUCCGACCACCCUCUGCCGAAGGGGUUCACUGCGAACGGGAUCCGGCUUCUGAGAGAGGGCCUAGAAGGAUUGUGCGACCACCUCAAGGGUUUGCCGGAGGCAGAUCUGGACAACCCUGGCUUCACGCCCAAAUGGUGGACCAAGGAGGUCCGGGAACUUGCUUACGACGCGGAGGACUUCUUCGACGAGGUUAUGCAGUCCGUUGCCGGCGGCGGCGGCGCCGGCAUCAGCAGAAGCGCUCCUCUUAGUACUACUACUAUAUUUGGGGUUACCAGUAAGCGGAAGCAGCGCCUGCCCCAGAUUGCACAAGAUUUCUCACAUUUAAUGGCUCGUGUGGAUGAUGCGAGAGGAAGAUGCAAAAAUUUCCAUCUUGCUCCGGAGACAGCCAUCAAAUCUGACCAUGGACAAGCCAGUACCAGCGGCCACACACCUGAACUGCCUCUCAACCUGCCGGUGUCGACCGUGUCAACCGCCGGCCAUAGCCUGGUUGGUGUCGAGGAACCCAUGAAGAAGCUUGUCAACUUGCUUGCUUUCAGUGACGACCAGCAGAAGCAGCUCAAGGUGAUACCCAUCUUUGGAUCUGCAGGAGUUGGAAAAACGACAGUUGCCAGAGCGAUAUAUCAUCAGUUUGGAGGAGAAUUCCAGUGCCGGGCUUUUGUACGGGUGUCCCGGAAUCCUGAUAUGAGGAGGCUUCUCACCAGCAUCCUCUCACAAAUUAAGGCGCCAGGGGCAGGGGCUCACACCUUUUCUGAUGUGCAGGACCUUAUUGACUGUAUCAUCAAACAUCUUCAUCAGAAAAGGUACUUCAUUGUUGUUGAUGAUUUAUGGACAGCAUCAGUCUGGGAUAUUAUUAGCCGUGCUUUACCUUAUGGUGAUUGUUGCAGCAGAAUACUGACAACCACACAGAUUGAGGAUGUAGCACUGGCAUGUUCUGGUUAUGAGUCAGAGUAUAUAUUUAACUUGGACCCUCUUAAUAGUGGCGAAUCUCGAAAAUUAUUCUUCGAUUCUGUUUUUGGCUCUGAAUGUGAAACUGGUUGUCCUGAGGAGUUCAAAGUAGUUGUGGAUAGGAUUAUCAGGAAAUGCGGUGGUUUACCGUUAUCAACUCUAAAUAUAGCAAGCCUGUUGCUACCAAGCAAACCAAACCCUGCAUUUCAGCAGUGGGAGAAGGUAGAAAGUUCUCUACCCUCCACUUUGAGGACAAAUCCUACUUCCAAUGGGAUGAAAGAUGUUAUAAUCCUUGUCUAUGAUAAGCUUCCACUUCAUUUGAAGACAUGCUUGCUCUAUGUUGGCAUGUAUCCAGAGGGCUACACAAUCAGUAAGGAUGAUUUGGAGAAGCAAUGGGUUGCUGAAAGUUUUGUCAGUGACGCUGAGCAUGGUUACUUUAACGAGCUUCUCAGAAGAGGUAUGAUCCAACCGGUGGACACUAACUAUCACGGCGAGGUGUUGUCAUGUACAGUUAACCACAUGGUACUGGAUCUUAUCAGGCACAAAUCCAUGGAGGAUAAUUUCAUCAUCACUGUGAACUAUCUUGAAUCAACUAUAGGGUUUCCUGACAAGGCUCGUCGAUUGUCCAUCCAAUUCGGAGGUGCAAAAAGUGCGAAGAUACCGGAAAGCAUCAUAAUGUCCCAAGUCCGAUCACUUUUCUUCUGUGGAUUCUCUGGAUGUGUACCUUCCAUUCCGGAUUAUGGCCUUCUUCGAGUUCUAAUUCUUCAUAUUUGGGCUGAUCAAGACAAGAUGAGCUUUGACCUCACUAGAAUCGGUGAACUAUGUCGACUGAGAUAUGUCCAGGUUGAAUGUAAUAUCACUGUCAAUUUGCCAGACAAGAUUCAAGGGUUACGAUACUUGGAGACACUGCAAAUAGAUGGAAGAAUAUCUGCUGUUCCAUCAGAUAUUGGAAAUUUGGAGAAAUUACGGCACCUCCGCCUUCCCAACCAAGUUAAUGUGAGGGACCUUGGCGGGCUGGUUAACCUCCAGGAUCUUCAUCUCACCUGUUCUACAGUACACCAAGUUGAUAAUCUGGAGGACAACAUGAAAUACCUGAGCACAGUUCUUGAGAAACUCAGCAACCUCAAAUCUCUAACUCUGACAUCUUUAUGCUCAUAUCCCGUAAAUACUUCGAGGAUGAGUAUUUCCUGCCAUGGCUUGAGCAGCGUGUCCCCUGCUCCAGCCCAUCUUGAGAGACUUGAGUUACUGCCGUGGAUUUGCAUCUUUCCCAGCCUCCCAAAGUGGUUGGAAACACUCAGCAAACUCUACAGUCUAAAGGUAGCAGUUAGAGAAUUCUCGAACAGUGACAUUGAUAUCGUGAAAGGAUUGCCUGCCCUCACCGCUCUCUCACUAUAUGUCCAGGCAGCACCGGCAGAGAGGAUUGUCUUUGGCAAGGCAGGAUUUUCAGCUCUCAAGUACUUCACGUUGAAGUGCAGUGAACCUUUGCUGAAAUUUGAGGCUGGUGCAAUGCCUAAUCUUCGGAAGCUCAAUCUAGUCUUCAAUGUCCAUGAAGUGCAGCAUGGUGCUGCACCUAUCUGCAUUGAGCACCUAGCAGGGCUUAAAGAGAUCUCCGCAAAAAUUGUGGGUGCAGGUGCUGCUGGCACAGAGUCUACCUUGGGGAUUUAUGUUAGGAAUGAUCCAAAAAACCCGAAAAUCAACGAUCAACUGGUGAACUGGAAGUUCUUUGCAGACGAAGAUAGAAUUAUGGCGCCACCGAGGCACGCAGGACCGGUUAUAGAAGAACUAGGUGAGAUCCUGGAGGAAAUCACAGAAUAUGAGUACGAAGGGGAAGAUGAAAACAGACAGCAACCUGAUAGCGGGAUUUCUACGUUACUGGAGUCGUCGCCCGUGCCACCUUGGAGACCCUCUGAUGGGCGAUAUGGCUGGAGAAUCCUCUCUGCGUGGGCCAGGGCCAGGCCCACCUUGAAAUCCGGACCCCGGACCACCUUGAAAGCUGCCUGUGAAGGCAGCAACAGCCUCCCCUGGUGGCACCAUCUUGCGCCAUCCAACACUGGAAUGUUCUCAAGGAGUCGUCGUAAACAUGAGAGUAGUCUUACUGCCAGCAGCAGUCCAACUUUUUUGGCUUCCAGGCUUACUGGCGGCAGCAGUCAAACUUUUUCAGCUUCCAAGCCUUCAAGCGUGAACACGUUUUCAAGUGCGAACACUUCUUCAAGUGCGAACACUGGGUGUGAAAUUGUGCAGUCAGCCAAAGUUAAGGCCUUCAGCUAUAAUGCUCUGAGGUUUGCCACAAGGAACUUCCCUCCUGACGGUGUGCUCGGUGAAGGAGGGUUUGGAUCUGUCUAUAAAGGAUGGCUUGAUGAGCGUACAUUGUCAGCUUGCCAACCUGGUACAGGAAUACCCGUUGCUGUGAAAAAACUCAACCCGGAGGGCUUUCAAGGGCACGGAGAGUGGUUGGCCGAAGUUAAUUACUUAGGUCGGCUUUGCCAUCCCAACCUUCUGAAGUUAAUCGGGUACUGCAUAGAGGAUGAGUAUCGGGUGCUAGUGUAUGAGUGGAUGCCACGUGGGAGCUUGGACAAUCAUCUUUUCAGGAGAGGCUUUGAACCUCUUUCGUGGAACAUAAGGAUGAAAGUUGCACUUGGAGCUGCAAAAGGGCUAGCCUACCUUCACAGUGCGGAGGUUAACGUUAUCUAUAGGGAUUUUAAGCCAUCUCAUAUUCUCCUUGACACCGAUUAUACUGCAAAACUCUCUGAUUUUGGAUUGGCAAAGGAUGGUCCUGUUGGUGAAGACAGUCAUGUGACCACAAGGGUAAUGGGAACAUAUGGUUAUGCAGCUCCAGAAUAUGUGUCAACAGGCCAUCUUACUGCAAAGUGCGACGUAUAUGGCUUCGGGGUUGUGCUUCUAGAGAUGUUGUGUGGUCGUCGCGCACUUGACACGAACCGUGCCCCGGCGGAGCUCAAUCUUGUUGGAUGGGCCCGACCGAAUCUCACAAGUAAGCGCGGGAUCUUUCGUGUCAUUGAUAAAAAGCUAGGAGGCCGAUACUCGAUCAAUGGGGCGCGGAAAAUCGCCAACCUUGCUGUCGCGUGCUUGCACGUUGAAGGUAAUAUGAGGCCGACCAUGGAUUACGUAGUCUCCAUUCUAGAAGGGGUUCAAGACUCCAGUGACCGACGCAAGAAAGCAGCAGCAAAGAAGCAUCAAGAGCCCAAGUCCGCCGGCAGAAUGACAGCGCCAAGCGCGGAUGCUGGCACGGCACGCGUACGUCGCCCUAAAAGCUCAGGAGACCUUGGAAACAAGGCCGCUAGUCAUAGCAACCAAGAGUCUGAACCUGUUAUCUAG
rnacentral:rRNA from 1 species